rnacentral:misc_RNA from 1 species
GCAAACUUGGUCAUUUAGAGGAAGUAAAAGUCGUAACAAGGUAACCGUAGGUGAACCUGCGGUUGGAUCAUUAAAAAAUGAUAACCUCUCUCGGGCGAUCACUCGCACGGGAGGGCGUGGUUUACGCCACGUUAACAUCUUGUGAACCCACUGAACGUCUCUGGCGAGGGGGAAAUGACCUGGAAGUCUCUCUUUGGCUUUCAACGAUUUUCUCGUCAGCUCGCGUCGCAAGACGCGCGGCCGUGGACAUCUCGCCAACCGCUUCCCUUCUCCGGGGAGGCGUUGUUUGCUCACAUCUUGAUUUUCUGAUUGGAAUUGACUCUGAGAUAUUGCAAAGCAUUCGUGCUUUGGAAGAGAAACAAAUGAUCUAAAACAACUUUUGGCAACGGAUCUCUUGGCUCUCGCAUCGAUGAAGAACGCAGC